UUUAACAUUAGAAACACAUGUAAAAUCAUGUAUUUGCCUCUCAAUUAAUAGAUAAGAUCUUUAUUCGAGCAUGACAACUUAAGCAGAGUGAUAGAGAAAAUACUUAAGAGUUUACUUUGUAAAUCUUAAAAUAUUUUCCUAAGUGAGUUUUAGAUUCAAGUGAUCUUAAACUUUCAUAUCCUCAACAAGUGAGUUGUAAAAGAUCAACCUAAAAAUUUAUUUUACA
rnacentral:lncRNA from 1 species